rnacentral:rRNA from 1 species
UACGUAGGGUGCGAGCGUUGUCCGGAAUUAUUGGGCGUAAAGGGCUCGUAGGCGGUUUGUCGCGUCGGGGGUGAAAACACACAGCUUAACUGUGUGCUUGCUUCCGAUACGGGCAGACUAGAGGUAUGCAGGGGAGAACGGAAUUCCUGGUGUAGCGGUGAAAUGCGCAGAUAUCAGGAGGAACACCGGUGGCGAAGGCGGUUCUCUGGGCAUUACCUGACGCUGAGGAGCGAAAGUGUGGGGAGCGAACAGG